GUGCUAACCACAGACGGCUUCCAACACGUGAAGCCAUGCUGCCCGCCCCGGCAGGGUUCCCCUUGUUACAGGGUCGUAGGGCUGCUGCCAAGGUUUUUUUUCCUUUUUCUCUCUUUCCUUUUCUUUCUUUCCUUUUCUUCUGUCCUUUUCUUCUGUCCUGUUGAUUUUUUAUCUUCCCUUGUUUUUCUUUCCUUUCCUUUUUCUUCUGUCAUUUUUUUCCCUUUAUUCUCUUUCCUUUUUUUUUUCUUUCCUUUUUCCUUUCCUCGUCUUUCCCUUGUCUUUCCCUUUUUCUUUCUUCCCUUUCUCUUUUCUCUUUUUUAUUUCCUUUUCCUUUCCUUUUUUCUCUUCCUUUUUUUCCUCUUUGUUUCCCCCCUUUCCCUUUCCCCUUUUGUCUUUUUUUCUUUCCUCUUUUCUCUCCCUUUUCCUUUCCUUUUUUCUCCUUCCCUUUUUCUUAUUUUUUCUUUCUUUCUUCUCGCUUUCCUUCUCUUUCCCUUUUUUCUCUUUAUUUCUCUCUCCUUUUUCUUCUCUUCCCUUUUCUCUUUGGUUCUUUCUCUUCCUUUUUUUCAUUUCCUUUCUCUUUCCAUUUUCUCUUUCCAUUUUCUCUCCUGUUUCUUUCCCCUUUUCUUUCCUUUUUAUCUCUUUUCUCUCUUUCCUUUCUCCUCUUUCCUUUUUUUCACUUUCUUUUUUUUUCUAUUUCUUUUCUUAUCUUCCCAUUUUUAUUUUCUUUCUUUUCUCUUUCCUUUUUUUUUCUCUUUCCCGUUUUUACAGAUUAGGUCCAGGUUGAGCUGUUUCAAACAGGAAUGCACAAUGUUUCCUUACAGCUGUGAUGUCUUCUUUGCUCAUGCAAAGAAGCCAGAAGCUCCUGAUUUUUUCCCCGCAGCCUGUCCCCUUUUGGAGACUAAAAGCACCUCUGGCCAGGCGACUCAACUCUUCCUUGAUGCAUGCCCACGACAACCUUGUGGGGCUCUGAUGGCUCUCGAGCCCCGUUCAGCAUGUUCUAGUGACACUGCUGGCUGGUCAGAUGCUUCUCGUGGCCCGCAAGCAGGAAGAGGCAAUGGCAGCAGGUGCCCGGGGGAUUAUGGAGGGGCCCUGCGAAGCAGGACGGGAGCUCUCCAGGCAGCACCUGGAGGGCAUUUGCGGUGCAGAGACAUUUGA
rnacentral:lncRNA from 1 species